GACGAACGCUGGCGGCGUGCCUAAUACAUGCAAGUAGAACGCUGAAGAGAGGAGCUUGCUCUUCUUGGAUGAGUCGCGAACGGGUGAGUAACGCGUAGGUAACCUGCCUUGUAGCGGGGGAUAACUAUUGGAAACGAUAGCUAAUACCGCAUAACAAUGGAUGACCCAUGUCAUUUAUUUGAAAGGGGCAAAUGCUCCACUACAAGAUGGACCUGCGUUGUAUUAGCUAGUAGGUGAGGUAACGGCUCACCUAGGCGACGAUACAUAGCCGACCUGAGAGGGUGAUCGGCCACACUGGGACUGAGACACGGCCCAGACUCCUACGGGAGGCAGCAGUAGGGAAUCUUCGGCAAUGGGGGCAACCCUGACCGAGCAACGCCGCGUGAGUGAAGAAGGUUUUCGGAUCGUAAAGCUCUGUUGUAAGUCAAGAACGAGUGUGAGAGUGGAAAGUUCACACUGUGACGGUAGCUUACCAGAAAGGGACGGCUAACUACGUG
rnacentral:rRNA from 1 species